rnacentral:rRNA from 1 species
CAGCGCGAACGUUGGCGGCGUGCCUAACACAUGCAAGUCGUGGGGCAGCAGGCUACUACCUUCGGGUAGUAGUGCUGGCGACCGGCAAACGGGUGAGUAACGCGUAGCUUACCUACCCAUAGGUUGGGGAUAACAUCCCGAAAGGGGUGCUAAUACCCAAUAAUGAGGAGACUCCAAAGCCCUUAUGGGCGCCUAUGGAUGGGGCUGCGUCCCAUCAGCUAGUUGGUGAGGUAAUGGCUCACCAAGGCUACGACGGGUAACCGGUCUGAGAGGAUGACCGGUCACAGCGGGACUGAGACACGGCCCGCACCCCUACGGGGGGCAGCAGUGGGGAAUAUUGGGCAAUGGCCGAAAGGCUGACCCAGCGACGCCGCGUGGUGGAUGAAGCCCUUCGGGGUGUAAACACCUUUUCUGGGGGAAGAUAAUGACGGUACCCCAGGAAUAAGGGACGGCUAACUACGUGCCAGCAGCCGCGGUAA